CCUCUGCCACUCCCCCUGCUUGUGUUCCCUUUCUCGCUGAAGAGCUCUCUGAUGGGCUUCUACUACCUGGGCCUGCGCCCAGCUCCACAGUCUCUUGCUGUUCUUGUCUCCUCCACCUGUGCUUCAUUAACACCACAUUUCUGUGAUUUCUUGAUGGGACCCAUGCUAUCUCUGUUUUCUCUGGGAAUGUUCCGCACGUCCCUUUGUCCCUACCUCUCCUGGCCAACUCUCAUUCACCCUUUAGGAUACGGUGUGGGCAACAGCUCCUCCAGGAAGCCCUCCGGGAUUAUUCCGGGUUCUACUGUUUACUCCUACAUUAUCACAGACCUGAUAAUGCCCCAGAAGGGAGAAAUAGCAAAAGUCCAUUGAUCUUACAAUAAUUCAUCUCCAAAUGAUCGGGGGGCGGUGGGGAAGGACAGAGAAAGACAGGGAGACAUAGCCUUGGGAUAACGUGGGAGCCCCUGUUCACCAUUUCGCUCAGUGAGUACACACCAUCUUGCAAUGAUCUGUCUCUCCAUCAGGCACAGAGGUGUCCCUGGGCUUGCGGGCGGGGCGGUCUGUGGAGAGAAUCCCGAGGGUCCUAAACACAUACAUAUUGAUUUUCAUCAUUAUUUGCACUAACUCUAACUGAAAUUUGGCAGGUCCUCCAGUUACCGAUGUAGGCACCAGACUGUAGGGGGAUUUGCGAGACCUGAGACUGACACCCAUGGAAAUUAGAUAUUUUCCUAUCACACUGCUCUGGUAGCAGAUGCUCAAAAUAUUAUUUAUACUUGUCACUACUUCAAAAUUACGGUAGUUAUUAGACCUGCAGCCAAAUCCAGUUACUUAAUGUGUUAAUAAAGAUGCAAACGCAUUAUUACUCCACACACUUGUUAUGUUUAUAUAUAUUUUGAUAGCUACACUUUAAUGUAACUGCUU